CCUACGGGUGGCAGCAGUGGGGGAUAUUGCACAAUGGGCGCAAGCCUGAUGCAGCGACGCCGCGUGAGCGAAGAAGUAUUUCGGUAUGUAAAGCUCUAUCAGCAGGGAAGAAAAUGACGGUACCUGACUAAGAAGCUCCGGCUAACUACGUGCCAGCAGCCGCGGUAAUCCGUAUGGAGCAAGCGUUAUCAGGAUUUACUGGUUGUAAAGGGAGAGUAGGCGGCUCUGUAAGUCUGAUGUGAAAAUUUGGGGCUCAACCCCAAACGUGCAUUUGAAACUGCAGGGCUUGAGUGCCGGAGAGGCAGGCGGAAUUCCUAGUGUAGCGGUGAAAUGCGUAGAUAUUAGGAGGAACACCAGUGGCGAAGGCGGCAUACCGGUGCACAACUGACGCUCAGGCACGAAAGCGUGGGUAUCGAACAGGAUUAGAUACCCCAGUAGUC
rnacentral:rRNA from 1 species